rnacentral:tRNA from 1 species
AUUUAAAUAAUUUAAUAAAAAUAUUAAUUUGUGGAAUUAAAAAUGUAUAGAAUAAUACUUUAAAUA